rnacentral:piRNA from 2 species
AUGUCUCUGUGGCGCAAUCGGUUAG